GUGGGUCUGGUGCACUCCCGCCCGCUCAGAGAAAAAUUCUGCCCUGUGGUUACUUCUGGUUAUGUAACUGAAUGUGUGAUUAUAACACUGCCUGUCCGAUGGAAAAUUGGGCAAGUGAAAAGUUAAAAUCAGCUGCAGGACUUACACGCCAACACCCCACUCUGUUCCUGCUAUCUUCUGUUUUAACCUGGUCUUCUGGCAGCAGGGUGACCACCUCAAACUAUCGGAGUCUUUCUGUAAGAAUGCAGACCAGGGUCUGAUAACUCAUUGAGCCUUGACUGCAAAUUUAAUUGGUGGCGGGAGUGAGAAGCCAUUGUGGAUUUUACUGCUGGAUGAACCUUUGAGGAGGGGACCCAAGCCAGAAGAGAUCCAAAGAGAUUUCCAACAUCUGCAGUACUUUGGUUUUGACCUAGUUAACAGCAACCAGCAUGUGUUCAGCAGGGGAAAUAAUCUACCUGGCAACCUGCUUGACUACGAUGGGGCAGUGAACUGUGGUAAAAGUCCAAAAGUCAUAUCCUUGUUGAUGAUAUGAAAACUGUGGGAAUUUUGAGAACCCUUCAAUCCUGGCAUGGCUUUCCGCUAUUUUCCUGGAUCACCCAGCCUCCUAGCCCACCAUGGGGGCUGGGGACGUUCAGUCCCUCAUGUGAGCGGUCUGACUUAUGAGAGAAGAUUGAAGACACUUGAGCUUUCCGAUACAGAAAGAAUAUGAUUCUGAGAUUUUUUUUGUGGAGGUGUACACAGUUGUUAAAGGAAUGGAGAAAGUAAACACAAAAUAUUUCUUUAAAUUCAACUUUGGGUGUAAAUCAAACAAGUGAAAGCUAACUUUAGGACUCAUAUAAAGACAUUUUUCUUCACACAAGGAAUGAUCAACAUAUGAAAUGAGCUUCCAGAAAGACUAGUGGAUGCAAAAAGCUUGGAAUCAUUUACAAAAUAAAUGUAAGCUCCAAACAGAAACUUAAGGAUUUCCCUGGAUGGAUGAAAUAAGAUUGGUCAAGUGGCCUUCCUCAUCUAUUUCCCUGGUAUGUAGCAGUUCAUUUGUUCAUUAUCACCAUUGACUUAGUGGGGCCAUUAGCAUUGCUUUGCUUCUUCUCUGGCUUUCUUCAAGCCUCUCUCAGUCCAUAUCUCAAUGUUAUCCACUCAUCCAAUUUUUCUUCUACAUCUGUUUUUGCCCUCAAUUUCUCCUUUGAUUGUUGCCAGGACAAAGCUGUCAGGUCUUUGUUUCUAAAGUUCGUACUUAACUACCUUUCUCUCUCUCUAACUGUACUUGAUUCCUGACCUUCUACUCUUGAUCUAACCCACUCAUUUGUCUAUCUGUCCACCCAGCUGAUUCUGAGCAUCCUCCGCCAUACCCACAUUUCAAAAGCUGUUAGUCCCCUCUCAUCCUCUUUCUUCAGGGUCCAACUCUCACAUCCAUAGAAUGCAACUCUCCACACUAGUAACAGCACAAGAUAUUUUUUCAACUUCAUGCUGAUGCUUCUAAGCUUCCAGACCCUGCUUAAGAUACCGGUCAUGCUUCUCACCAUUGCUAAUCUAAUGUGGCUUUCAUUCUUUGAUGUAACUUUGGUGUGUAUCAUUGAACCAAGGCACUUGAAAUUGUUUAUUGCCUCUAGCUCAGUGCUUCCAAUUUUGACUUUUCCAUUGUCAUUUAGAGCCAUAACAUUGGGCUUUGCCUCAUUCAUGUUCAGUCCAAAAAGACUGACUGCGUCUUUUGACUAGGUCUGCCCUAAUCUUUUAGCUCUCUUUUUGUCCUAGCUAUGAGUGCAGUGUUGUCUGCAUACCUGAGGCUUCGUAUGCUACUACGUCCUCUGUCUGGGAACUCUUCCUGCACCAUCCUCAUUACCUUCUCCCACACAACAUUAAACAGCCUGGAUAACAGAAGCUGUAGCAGGGCUAAGUAAAGAAACAGAAAAUAUUGAGUUUUAUAGCAUAUAGAAUAGGAAACAAGUCACAACCAGCUAGUGUAGGGCAUUAAUCCAUAUCUAAUGGGCUACUAUAUGCAAUUUGGUUGUGAUAUUUAAGGAAGGACACCAUGGCACUGAAAUAAAGGCAGCAAAAUGAUGUUUGUUUGAGGCUUGGAUUCAGAUACCGGAACCACAAAGUGAAGCGACAAAAGCUUAUUUACACUAGGGAAGAGAGAUUUACAAAGGAUCUUAUUGAGGUAGUCAAGGUGUUUAAAGAUAUUGGCCAGUUCAGUCCUGAGAAACUGUUUACUGAUCGCAAUAAGAGAAUCACAAUGAGAAGCCAUUUGAUGAGUGAAAAUGAAUAGGCAGAUCAGAUCUAACUACCAUACAGAAAGUGAUAGAUGUUUAGAAUAGACUGCCAGGGAAAGAUUGAGAGCUGAUAGCAUAAGAGAUUUUGAGCCAGUUUGGCAAGAGAAUCAGUUGAGGGAUUUAGGUAGUGAACUAUUUACUCAGAACUCUAGGCUGGUCAAAUGGACGUGGAUAAUCUUCUUGGACAGCUUAUUACUCAGGUGGCAAAGUUAUUCCCAACAUGUUAAAAUUAUCAGUGAUGUUCCAUGGGAAAGAGGGAUUAUAUAUUUUAAGAUAGACAUGUAAAAUUACUUGUGUUUUUUGUACACAAAAAAAAAAUUAAAAAUCAAUAAAGUCAUAAACACUGAUGUAAAA